UAGGGAAUCUUCGGCAAUGGGCGAAAGCCUGACCGAUCAACGCCGCGUGAAUGAUGAAGGCCUUCGGGUUGUAAAAUUCUGUUAUAAGGGAAGAACGACUUUAGUAGGAAAUGGCUAGAGUGUGACGGUACCUUAUGAGAAAGCCACGGCUAACUACGUGCCAGCAGCCGCGGUAAUACGUAGGUGGCGAGCGUUAUCCGGAAUUAUUGGGCGUAAAGAGCGCGCAGGUGGUUGAUUAAGUCUGAUGUGAAAGCCCACGGCUUAACCGUGGAGGGUCAUUGGAAACUGGUCGACUUGAGUGCAGAAGAGGAAAGCGGAAUUCCUAGUGUAGCGGUGAAAUGCGUAGAUAUUAGGAGGAACACCAGUGGCGAAGGCGGCUUUCUGGACUGUAACUGACACUGAGGCACGAAAGCGUGGGGAGCAAACA
rnacentral:rRNA from 1 species